ACGCUUUGCAGUACCUCAUUAAACCCAGUAUUUUAGCUGUUCCAUGAAGUCCACAUUCAUUUCUAUAUAUCUUGCUCCACUGAUUAUGAAUCUCAGUAUCUCUUAAACAGAACCUUUCGUUUUUCUUCCCCUUUCUGCGCAUACUAACUCUUAUUUCUCUUGCAAAAACCUUUCUUUACACUUUCGGUCUUUAUCUUGCAAAGUAUGGCUGAACACAUCCCAUUCGGCAUUGCACAAAACUUAUUAACAAAGCUGGCAUCAUCUGCCUUCCAAGAAAUAGGAUUGAUAUAUGGUGUCAAAAAUGAUCUUUGUAGGCUUGAAAAUACUUUCUCCACUAUUAAAGCUGUACUUCUAGAUGCUGAGAAGAAGCAGGCGAACAGUCAUGCAGUGAAGAGCUGGAUAAAGAGACUUCAAGAUGUUGUCUAUGAUGCAGAUUACUUGCUGGAUGACAUGGCAACUGAAGGUUUGCGAAGAAAG
rnacentral:misc_RNA from 1 species